rnacentral:misc_RNA from 1 species
UUUUCAUGCUACGCGUAG